GGUGACUAAUAAAAAGCCAGACUCACAAUGACAGGUCUCUUCCAUUCACAUCAUGUUCCUCUGGAGAGCUUCCAUCCUUCCCUUUGAAUGGAUCAACCAGCUGUUCCACCACGAGGCUUUUUGAAUGAGAAAAGGAAAAAAUUGGACCUCUCCGUCUGGAACCUAUCAUAUUUUCUAAUUAUCUAGAUUUUUCCAGUUUAAUGAUGGAGAACUGAUGGGAAAAUUUAAGCUAAUGGCUGUUCUGGUUGGACAUCUGAAUCCUGGGGUUCCAGAGUGUGGAAGAAAUUUCAAAACAGCUAUCUUUAUUGUCAAAGCUCUGCUACGAGCAUUGACUCAUCCCCACUACUCCACAACAGGGCUGAAAUCUGACUUCUACUGGACAAAAUAUCAAGCAAGAUGUGCCCUCCUGCAUUCUACCUACCUUUAGGGAGGGAGGCUCCCACUGACGUUUUUACCUUACACGGACGGGCAUGUUUGGGUCCGGUCGGGAAAGAGGUGCCGGUUGCCUUCACCCUAUUACUAAAAAGGCAGUGUGAGGGGUCAGGAGGCCUCCUCCAGCCUCCCGGGUCUACUCUGGGUGGAGCCGCGGGAGGAAGACUAGGGUCACUCCAGUGGGUUGAAGGCCUGCAAUGCUGUCAGCGCUAAAACCAGCACAUCAUCCGCAAAUCGGAACAGGGAGAAGAAGGCAAUAUUUUGGCCUGAGUGUUGGAGGAGUAGGGACUGGUCAGUGCAGGACAGCCAGGCUGAGGGAACAGCAUGCACCAAAGGCAUGAAGUCACAACAAAACGUGGCACCUUUGUCAGCCGUAUCGCCCCGGCAUCUGACACCACAGAGCAGUCCCUCCUUCUGGAAACUCUCCUCCUUACCUUUCUGGGUCACUGUUCUCUCUGGGCUGCUCUGUGGCUCCCGCCAGCCAAGCAGGCACCAGGGGGCCCUGAGGGAAUGAGGCACAGGCUAAUGACCUUGGUUUUGUUGAGUGGGGGCUCCGUAGAGAUCAUGAGAAUUAAACCAACCUACUUCAUAAUGUUCUGGAUGCUCAGGCCAAUGCACCACGGCGAAAGGACCUAGAAUCCAUAGUCAACGGACUUGAGUUCAAGUUGAGGGCGAUGGCCCAUGGCAGACAUGAUAUUUGACCUCCCUGAGCCUCAGUAUCUUUAUCCACAAAAUGGGACAAUAAGAACAUCUAUCCUGUAGGGUUGUUGAGAGAUUUAAACAAGACUUGAGAAAAGCCCCUUACCACUAACUAUUUAUCAUCAGAAGAAGCUGCCUACAAUCGUAACAGCAGGGCAAAACCGCAAAGGCAAAAUGCAAGGCCGUGACAUUUCAGCAGGUCAUUUUUGGCUAAGAAACCAGCGCUCACGACAAGUGCUUGUGAUAUAUCCUUGUGGUCGGACCGCCGGUCACAAGUUCUAAUUAAGGAAACGCUCUCUGACAGACCAGUCGCUGACGUGAGUCACUGAGGUCAGCCGUGUCACUCCCUGACCGGGGAACUCUCCUGGAAAUGGUUUGGAGAUAAGUAUGUUCUCAUGAAAAGAAAGCAGUGAUUUAUAAUCAUUUUCACCCAGGAAGAUUAAUUUACAGUCCUGACAGGAACCGGCUUCUGCAACAGCAGGUGGUAAAAAUAACUCUGCCAGGGCCACCUCCUUUUACUUCCUUGAAGCGCCCUCUCUUGCAUUUGCUCCU
ensembl:lncRNA